AUUGAACGCUGGCGGCAGGCCUAACACAUGCAAGUCGAACGAGUAGCGGACGGGUGAGUAAUGUCUGGGAAACUGCCUGAUGGAGGGGGAUAACUACUGGAAACGUUAGCUAAUACCGCAUACCAUCAGAUGUGCCCAGAUGGGAUUAGCUUGUGGGGGGGGUAACGGCUCACAAAGGCGACGAUCCCUAGCUGGUCUGAGAGGAUGACCAGCCACACUGGAACUGAGACACGGUCCAGACGCCUACGGGAGGCAGCAGUGGGGAAUAGUGCAAAAUGGGCGCAAGCCUGAUGCAGCAAUGCCGCGGGUAUGAAGAAGGCCUUCGGGUUGUAAAGUACUUUCAGCGGGGAGGCGUUACCCGCAGAAGAAGCACCGGCUAACUCCGUGCCAGCAGCCGCGGUAAUAC
rnacentral:rRNA from 1 species